rnacentral:lncRNA from 1 species
UAAUUUUAAUAUUCAUGCCGAUAUAAGUAAAUAUCUGAUAUAAAUACUAAUAUAAAUAAAUGAGAAGAGAAGAAAGAAGAAAAGAAUGCUUUCUUAGAGUAGGAUUUUAGUAAAUGUGGAAGGAAUGAGGGAUAACAAAACUCACCAUUAGACAAACACUUCAGCAAUCACUGCUGCAGACAAGAUCCACUAAGGAAUGCUAAAUUAGUGGUUAAAAAUUUGCUAUGAAACAGAAUUUGCACAGAUUCAAAGUGUCUCACCCAAGAUACAUUUUAGCACAAAGGGAAAGACAGUAACUUUAUAGUGGUGAAACUCAGCAGAAACCACCUUAACCAACCAAUUAAGGUAAACAAUAAGACAUGUUUACGUCCUGAACCCCUUGAUAUUUUGCAUUGAGAAAGACCCAACAUAAUUUCUGUGGUAUUCUUACCAAAAUUCAUAACCACAUUCCAUUCAUGAAAAAACACCACACUAUUUCAAAUUCAGGGACUUACCACAAAAUAAUUGAUCAAUACUCUUCAAAACCAUCAAGGUCAUGAAAGACAAGGAAAGACCCAAGGACCCUUACAGACCUACACACCAAGGAGAAAUAACAAGUAAAUGCAAUGUGGAGUCCUAGGAGGGAACCUGGAACAGAAACUGGACAUCAGUGGAAAAACUUACGACACUUGUAUAAGUUUUUUAAUGUAGUUCGUAGUAUUGUAUCAAUGCUGACUUCCUCGUCUUAGAAAUUGUACUAUUGGCCAGGCGCAGUGGCUCA